rnacentral:tRNA from 3 species
CUGGUAGUUCAGUUGGUUAGAAUGCCAGCCUGUCACGCUGGAGGUCGAGGGUUCGAACCCCUUCC